rnacentral:rRNA from 1 species
GCAUCGAUGAAGAACGCAGCGAAAUGCGAUAAGUAGUGUGAAUUGCAGAAUUCAGUGAAUCAUCGAAUCUUUGAACGCACAUUGCGCCCCUUGGUAUUCCAUGGGGCAUGCCUGUUCGAGCGUCAUUUGUACCUUCAAGCUCUGCUUGGUGUUGGGUGUUUGUCCCGCCUUUGUGCGCGGACUCGCCUUAAAGCAAUUGGCAGCCGGCGUAUUAGUUUCGGAGCGCAGCACAAAUCGCGCUCUGUGUCUUAUACGGUAGCAUCCAUCAAGACUAUUUUACACUCUUGACCUCGGAUCAGGUAGGGAUACCCGC